AACCGGAGCUAAUACGAUAAUAUUUGAACCGCAUGGUUCAAAAGUGAAAGACGGUCUUGCUGUCACUUAUAGAUGGAUCCGCGCUGCAUUAGCUAGUUGGUAAGGUAACGGCUUACCAAGGCAACGAUGCAUAGCCGACCUGAGAGGGUGAUCGGCCACACUGGAACUGAGACACGGUCCAGACUCCUACGGGAGGCAGCAGGC
rnacentral:rRNA from 1 species